rnacentral:lncRNA from 1 species
AUGACUGUGGGCCAGUAUUUUAAUAUAUUUUUUUGUAAUUUUUAUUUAUUUAUGAUAGUCACAGAGAGAGAGAGAGGGCAGAGACACAGGCAGAGGGAGAAGCAGGCUCCAUGCACCGGGAGCCCGACGUGGGAUUCGACCCCGGGUCUCCAGGAUCGCGCCCUGGGCCAAAGUCAUUCUGACAGAUGUGAAGUUAUAGCUCAUGGUGGUUUUGGUUUGCAUUUAUUUGAUGAUGAGGAAAUGGAAAUCUCAAGGAAUCAGACCAUUUUUGCCAACCUUCCCUCCUGA